rnacentral:misc_RNA from 1 species
GUAUUGUAUUGCGUUAAACGCAUCAUGCAUUCCAUAAGACUUUAUUACAGUGUGUGUGUGUAAAGAUGUAGAACCGCAGCAAGAGGACGGAGCCCCCCAGGCCAUAGAACUACAGUGGGUGCACAGGUGUGAGUGGAUGUGUAAAACAGAGCGUGCACAUGCCCCCGUUUGAGGACCAGCAACAACUCGUGUCAACAAUUCGGUAAUGAUCCUUCCGCAGGUUCACCUACGGAAA